rnacentral:tRNA from 1 species
GCGCUGAUAGCUCAGCUGGAUAGAGCGUCUGGCUACGGACCAGAAGGUCGGGUGUUCGAAUCAUCUUCAGCGCGCCA